rnacentral:snRNA from 1 species
AUCACUUCUCAGCCUUUUGGCUAAGAUCAAGUGUAGUUUCAGGCAUGUUCUUGUGAGCUGGAUAGCAUAUGGACUUUAUAUCUGUUACUUUCUUACAAAUUUUCUGAUUUUAU